UGGGGAAUUUUGGACAAUGGGCGAAAGCCUGAUCCAGCAAUGCCGCGUGUGUGAAGAAGGCCUUCGGGUUGUAAAGCACUUUUGUCCGGAAAGAAAUCCUUGGCUCUAAUACAGCCGGGGGAUGACGGUACCGGAAGAAUAAGCACCGGCUAACUACGUGCCAGCAGCCGCGGUAAUACGUAGGGUGCAAGCGUUAAUCGGAAUUACUGGGCGUAAAGCGUGCGCAGGCGGUUUGCUAAGACCGAUGUGAAAUCCCCGGGCUCAACCUGGGAACUGCAUUGGUGACUGGCAGGCUAGAGUAUGGCAGAGGGGGGUAGAAUUCCACGUGUAGCAGUGAAAUGCGUAGAGAUGUGGAGGAAUACCGAUGGCGAAGGCAGCCCCCUGGGCCAAUACUGACGCUCAUGCACGAAAGCGUGGGGAGCAAACAGGAUUAGAUACCCUGGUAGUCCACGCCCUAAAACGAUGUCAACUAGUUGUUGGGGAUUCAUUUCCUUAGUAACGUAGCUAACGCGUGAAGUUGACCGCCUGGGGAGUACGGUCGCAAGAUUAAAACUCAAAUGAAUUGAC
rnacentral:rRNA from 1 species